rnacentral:lncRNA from 1 species
UUCAAUACGAGAGGGACCAAAUAAAUCCAUGUGAAGUAAUUGCAAAGGUCUAGACGUUGAAAAAAUAUUCUUGGAUUUAAAAGAUGCUUUGGUUUGCUUCCCUUUUUGACAAGAUUCGCAAAUAGAGUCAUUUUCAAACUUUAAACUAGGAAGACCAACUACUAAGUUUUUAGAAAGAAGCUUGUUCAAAAGAUGCAUGUUCAUGUGUGCU